rnacentral:pre_miRNA from 1 species
GAGGCGUGGGGGGCCUUGGCCCGGUUCGCUUCGGCUCCCGGCCCUCCUAGCCAGG